AGGACGACCAGCCACACUGGAACUGAGACACGGUCCAGACUCCUACGGGAGGCAGCAGUGGGGAAUUUUGGACAAUGGGCGCAAGCCUGAUCCAGCCAUGCCGCGUGAGUGAAGAAGGCCUUCGGGUUGUAAAGCUCUUUCAGCCGGAAAGAAAUUGCUUCUAUUAAUACUAGGAGUAGAUGACGGUACCGGAAGAAGAAGCACCGGCUAACUACGUGCCAGCAGCCGCGGUAAUACGUAGGGUGCGAGCGUUAAUCGGAAUUACUGGGCGUAAAGCGUGCGCAGGCGGUUUGGUAAGACAGACGUGAAAUCCCCGGGCUUAACCUGGGAACUGCGUUUGUGACUGUCAGACUAGAGUGUAGCAGAGGGGGGUAGAAUUCCACGUGUAGCAGUGAAAUGCGUAGAUAUGUGGAGGAAUACCAAUGGCGAAGGCAGCCCCCUGGGUUAACACUGACGCUCAUGCACGAAAGCGUGGGGAGCAAACAGGAUUAGAUACCCUGGUAGUCCACGCCCUAAACGAUGUCAACUAGGUGUUGGGGAAGGAGACUUCUUUAGUACCGCAGCUAACGCGUGAAGUUGACCGCCUGGGGAGUACGGUCGCAAGAUUAAAACUCAAAGGAAUUGACGGGGACCCGCACAAGCGGUGGAUUAUGUGGAUUAAUUCGAUGCAACGCGAAAAACCUUACCUACCCUUGACAUGUCAGGAAGAUUCCAGAGAUGGGAUUGUGCCCGAAAGGGAGCCUGAACACAGGUGCUGCAUGGCUGUCGUCAGCUCGUGUCGUGAGAUGUUGGGUUAAGUCCCGCAACGAGCGCAACCCUUGUCAUUAAUUGCCAUCAUUUAGUUGGGCACUUUAAUGAGACUGCCGGUGAUAAACCGGAGGAAGGUGGGGAUGACGUCAAGUCCUCAUGGCCCUUAUGGGUAGGGCUUCACACGUAAUACAAUGGUCGGUACAGAGGGUUGCCAACCCGCGAGGGGGAGCCAAUCCCAAAAAGCCGAUCGUAGUCCGGAUUGUAGUCUGCAACUCGACUACAUGAAGUCGGAAUCGCUAGUAAUCGCGGAUCAGCAUGUCGCGGUGAAUACGUUCCCGGGUCUUGUACACACCGCCCGUCACACCAUGGGAGUAGAAUCUGGCAGAAGUAGGUAGCCUAACCGCAAGGGGGGCGCUUACCACGCUGGGUUUUAUGACUGGGGUGAAGUCGUAACAAGGUA
rnacentral:rRNA from 1 species